UGGCGACGAGAUGAAAUCCCGUGGGGCGCCUCGCUUUCUUUAGCUACUUCUACAAAAGGGAGCUCCCUGUCCCAGGGAAGCGGGAAUCUGUUUUUUUUUCUUCUUCUUCUUUUUCUUUUUUUGACCAAAGCGUCCAGGCAGUGUUUUGAGAAAUGGGAACGAGCCAGCUGAGUUGGCGACAGCCGUUGGGGAUGCCUUUUUUCAAGGUUGCUGGUUAAAGAUGCUCCUCUUUUUCUUUCUCACUUUUGUCUUCCUGGGCUGCUAUUUAAAAGACCAGAUGUAGAAUUUAAAGCCAAAUAAAUGAGACUUAUAAAAUUACAAAAUAAAAUGAGUGAAAGUAAGCUUAAUAGUCUUAAACCAAUUUAUAAAAGCUAGAACCAAAUGGUCUAAACCCUUUCUCUGUGUUUAGCCUCCUGCCUGUGAUUUUUAAAUAGAUUAAACUUAAGUAGCCAUUUAAUUAGAAUUUCACAAUUUGAUUAGCUAAUAGUAUUUGGACUAUAUCCGAUGAAUCAUUCCUUUUAAGAAAUAUAUUCUAAAGUUAGUUUCCACAUAUAUUUAUAAUAGAGGGUUUUGGAGUGCUUAUUUAGGACAUUUUCCAAGUGAUCUUAAGUUAAAAUGAAUUUUUCUUUGUUGAGAAAAAAUAGCUGACAACCAGGAAUGCAGUACAUAACAAAUCCUUAUUUACAUUAAUCGAACAUAAAUGAAUAUUUUAAAUCGAAUUUAUGAAUUCAAGGAUAGAGGAUCAUUUUCUUUACAAAUUCCAG
rnacentral:lncRNA from 1 species